rnacentral:rRNA from 1 species
UACAGAGGGUGCAAGCGUUGUUCGGAAUUAUUGGGCGUAAAGCGCGUGUAGGUGGUGGGCCAAGUCUGUGGUGAAAUCGCCCGGCUCAACUGGGCGGGGUCCGUGGAAACUGGUCGACUGGAGGACGGUAGAGGCGAGUGGAAUUCCCGGUGUAGUGGUGAAAUGCGUAGAGAUCGGGAGGAACACCAGUGGCGAAGGCGGCUCGCUGGGCCGGUCCUGACACUGAGACGCGAAGGCGUGGGGAGCAAACAGG